ensembl:lncRNA
CGGGAAUUGAUGGACUUCCAGCAGAUUUUUAUAAACAGUUUUGGGACUUAUUAAAAGAUGAUUUGCUUGAGGUUUUUAAAUCACCUUACAGGAAAAAAGAACUGCCAUCAAGUCACUUUUAUUUGUUUAGGUCCCUUAAAGCUUUCGGUUUUGGUGAUCCUUUUAUUUCAUGGAUCAAACUUUUAUAUUCUGGUGUUUCUACAAUGCUAAAGGUUGGAGGAGGGUUAAGUAAACCAGUGUCAGUAUGUAGAGGUAUUAGAAAAGGUUGUCCUUUGUCAGGAAUGCUAUAUUCUUUAGCCAUCGAACCUUUGCUUCGUCAAUUGAGAAAUAAUUUGGAUGGCAUUCUAACUGCUUUCUGCCUAUGCUGAUGAAGUUACUGUGUUUAUUAAAAGUGAAAGAGAUGUGUUAGUUUUAGAAGAAGUUUUAAAGAAGUAUGAAAAUGCCUCUUUAGCAAAGGUAAACUGGGAAAAAAGUGAAGGUUUUAUUUUAGGAAAUUGGUGUAGAGAAGAACAACCAGUUUUACCAGGAGGUGUGAAAUGGGGUAAAGAAGGCCAAAAAAUUCUGGGUAUUUAUUUGGGAACAGAUAAAUAUAUUCAAAAGAAUUGGGAAGGAAUGCAUGAUAAGAUGUGUGACCGUUUGUCACAGUGGACAUGGAUCCUUCCUCAGUUAUCAUUUAGGGGGAGAGUCCUGGUUGCUAACAAUUUAGCUGCUUCAGCACUUUGGCAUAAACUAAAUGUCUUAAAUCCACCUGAUGAAGUAGAUCAUUUACUACAAAAGAAAAUAAAUUACUUUUUUUUGGUCGGGUCAGACCUGGGUAAAAGCUGCUAUUCUAUAUUUACCAGUCAGUGAGAGUGGACAAGGCUUAAUAGACAUAAAAAGUAGAAUAAAGGUUUUCAGGCUGCAGGCAGCACAGAAGUUGCUUUACUCUGGAAAAAUCUGUUGGGCUGAUACAGCUUGUUCCUUGUUAAGCAGUAUGAAUUGUUUUAAAUAUGAUUUUAAUUUGUUUUUAAUUAGCCUGAAAGAUAUGGAAUGGAAGGAUUUUUCUCUGUUUUAUAAAUCAAUAUUGAAAGUGUGGAAUUCUGUUUUUCAAGUAAAGAGGAAUUUAAAUUGUGAGGAUUGGUUAAAGAAUGAACCACUCUUUAACAACCCCAUAAUACAAGUAAAUGUGUUGAAAAUGAGAAGUUUGCAAUCUUCUAUGGUGAGAGCAGGAUGCACAUGUUUGUCUAAUCUAAUGGAUGGUAACAAGUGGAAAAGUCCCCAAGAACUGUGUAGUUUGACAGGCAUUAAGUCUGUUCGAUUUAUGGAUAAAAUAAUGAAGGAAAUUUUUUCAGUUCUUCCGUCUGUUUACAGACAAAGUAUAAAAGGAAUAAGCUGUGAUAAAAAAAAAAGAGGAAUCAAAAUGGUAGGAUAUGUUUGGGCAAGAUGCAUCUCCUAGGAGAUGUUGGAGAUCUCUAUAUAAGUCACCCAUUGAAAAACGCACUGCGGAUCUUCAAUGGAGGAUUAUACAUUGGGCAAUUGCAACAAAUAAAUAUUUGGCACAUGUUGACCACAAUGUGGGGAAAGAAUGUUAUUUUUGAACUCAUGAAGAAUCUCUAAAGCAUCUGUUUUUAGAUUGUACUAGGCUAAAUGGGGUGUUUCAGGUUUUAAAGAGGUG